CUGUCAGUCACCCGCCCGGAACCCCGAGGGGCAACUACCGCGCAGGCCUCGGGGCCCGGAACAAGGGUCCCGGGGCUCAGGAUCUCGGCCGCUGCGCCUCACUCCUGCCCCAGCCCCGCGCACGGAACUCGUUUCCUUCCCACCCAGUUCGGUUCGCUCAUCUCUGACUUCCCCAGUGGGUCAGACCCAUUUCAUACACUGGGACCAAUUCCGUUCCCUUGGGCUCCUGAUUGAUUCAACUAGUUGGAAGGAUGCUGAGGCAGGGGUGAAGGCUGGGGUGGCUGGCAGGCCAUGAGGGGCAGAGGACAUCAGCAGAGCCUGUUUCGUGCCCUCUGAGUCUCCACACACAGAUUUAUCGUUGAGACCUUCCCGAUUCCCCUACCAGGGAUGCCGGCUGGCCCUGCCGGCCUGCGGGGCCCAGCCUAAGUCAGGCUCAUCUUUUGGGACAGGAUCUCACUUGCAGCGCUACAGCCAGUCCCUCUUCUGGUUCUCACGCACCCACUUAAGGCGGAGUGACUGGCCUAAAAGUCCAAGCUGAUCGUGUGGCUUCCGUUCGCAAAUAUCUCCCCUGGAUCUCCCUCCCUGGAGCCAGACAAGACCCAAAACUCCGAAGGGAAUGCAGUCCCCGCAGGGCGCAAAGGAGAAACUAAUAGUCCGGAGCGGGGGUGAACUUAAAGACCUGGCUUUCAUUAGCGUGGUGUUGUAACAGACUGCCAAGGAGCCUCUGAGGAAAUGGACUUUACGUACAUAUACAUACUCGCCCUUGCCCCUGAAGCAACAUCAAAUACUUUCAUGUUAUUCUUGGGGGCGUUUUAAUUCUUCAGAUCCUCUGAAUUCGUGUUUUUGUACAUCUCUUUCCAACCUGGGCCUACACACUAACAAAUAGUUUUACAUCGAAGGACAAUGCUUAGUGUUUUAUUCAGUCUCAACUCUUUUCUUUCUUUUUUCUCGUUGUGUUUCAAAAUGUUUAUUUUUUCUGUCUUGUGAUAGUUUUGGAGGAAAAAAUAUUGAAAUAAUUCAAAUCAGGCUCUUAACUCUGCUUUAUUAAAUUUAUAGUCAUAGUAGCCUGUGAGUAUGCUUCGGGGGAGGAAAAAAGAAUGCUGGGGUCUUUAUUCUUCAAGUUCUCUAAGUUUGAUAUUUUGAAUAAACACCCAGAGGUGUCUCUG